rnacentral:rRNA from 1 species
GAUGAACGCUAGCGGGAGGCUUAAUACAUGCAAGUCGAGGGGCAGCAUACGACUUCGGUUGUGAUGGCGACCGGCGCACGGGUGAGUAACGCGUACACAACCUACCUACGAGAGGGGGAUAGCCUUGGGAAACUGAGAAUAAUACCCCAUAGUAUUACUUUGUUGAUUAUAGAGUAAUUAAAGCUUCGGUGCUUGUAGAUGGGUGUGCGUUCCAUUAGCUAGUUGGUAAGGUAACGGCUUACCAAGGCGACGAUGGGUAGGGGGCGUGAGAGCGUGGACCCCCACACGGGUACUGAGACACGGACCCGACUCCUACGGGAGGCAGCAGUAAGGAAUAUUGGACAAUGGAGGCAACUCUGAUCCAGCCAUCCCGCGUGUAGGAAGACGGCCCUAUGGGUUGUAAACUACUUUUACUAGGGAAGAAAGUGUGGCAUUCAUGUCAUUUUGACGGUACCUAGAGAAUAAGCACCGGCUAACUCCG